AACAUCUCAUCACUACCACACAGACGCCCUUUCGUCCUGGCCAAUCUCCCUUAGUGGUUCACGGCCAUCCUUUCAUUGGAAGACGAAGAAGAAAAGGUUGGAGAAUGACGCUGGCCGUGCUUCGUAGAAUCUACUUUAAUCUGCCAUACAAAGGGUUGGAGGAGAAAGUUAGACGAAAGACAGAUCUUUGCACGAGAGAAGCGAGUGCCACUCAUGCAUCACCGAGGCGGUUCGAGCACGGGCGAAGAACAGGAAGCGGACAUUCUGGCAACGGCAGCGGGACCGGGCGGAUCAGUAGCAAAUAUCCUGCUGCGUGGAUUCCUUUGGAGCGUAAUCAACCAGCACUGGGCUGUGGUAGCAUGCUGAUGAUUCAAGUAUGAGUAAGAAAGGCUGAAAGGGUCGCCGAGAUGCUUGUGGACAUUUCCAGUGAUUGGAAAGUCUUGGGCUGCGUCGAAGAUACUUUGUCUUACUUUUUUCGUGCGUGAAGGGUCAAGAAGAUGACAACGUCAUGGUUGAAACACUAAACUGCCAAGAAAUAUGAGCGACGACAGUAAUAUUAGAGCGUUGCUUAGCGCCACUAAGUGAUGCUGCUGCUCCGACUUCGUUACUUCCUCCUCAGAAAAAGUGUACAGACCAUUUGUUGAAUGGAAUGUCUUGAGCCGAUGCUCUCGAAACAAGACGGAGUCUUCGGAAAAGCGCAGACUCUGUCGAAUGCUGUACAUCGAAGCAAAUAUAUGUCUGAAGCAAAUGUCCAAUGUCCACAAAGUAACAGGCACAAUGUUCAUCAACCCUACAUCAAUGGACGUUGAAAAGUGGAGAAUCCAGCUACCCGGUGACAGGAGAAGUAAAAUGAGGAGGUCUGAGGCCUUGGCUUCAAUCUACAUCAACGAAGUGGUCUUCGGGCUUGGAAGAUGUGAAGCAUAUGUGCUGGAUAUUGCACUCUAAAGUUAAACAGUGCAACUUAUUGAAAGAAUGAAAGAUGAAAGUCCUCAGUUCUUUCAUUAUUGAAAGGAACCUCGCAGGCGAACAGGUAAGUCAUAUACAAGGGAGACUUCGGAACGAUCGAAGAAAAAAUUGCUGCACAUCGUAGUUGGUGCGUAACAUCCACUGUAUACCCUCGAAAACUUUAUUUAUUCCUAAUGUGACGAAUUAUACCUCGAAUUUUACCCUCCCAUGGCCACCGCGUUGACGUCACUCUGCAUGGAGCGGACAAGUUGUACCCACGCCGGUCGCAGCCGCUGUGUUACAUUCCCGAAAGAAAACAAUGGACGAAGAUUCGGGAUCAGAAUACUCAAACACUGAUGGAAAGAAACAGCGAUCAGCUGCUUCCCUGAGAGUCAGGAAACAGCGCUGGAAUGGUAUGACUACUGCACGGUGACGUUGACAGACAAGAGAAAGAAAGAAGUACCUCCAUCAACGCUCGGUGGUCGCAGUCAGACUUUUUCAAAUUUCAAAAGUAGUUUUUAUGAAUCCUCCUUCGGUUCCCCGACCCUUUGGUUGCGAAGUAUUCCUCUAAGCUGUAUUUGAAGGGAAUGAGACAAAUUGAAAAAAAAAAAAAAAUGACGUAAAUUGCACAUGGUGAAGGAACAACGAAGACAAACACAACAUUUAAGCUUCUUUAACGCAAAAGGAAUGAUGGCAGUUGACGAAAAGUCAGCGAGUGCCGGUAGCGUGUAGUACACCUGAUCGGCAACCAGAGAGGUGUGUGUUCGUAUCCCGCCACCGGCAUGCACUCACUGAUUUUUCGUCAAUUUUCCAGAUGCUUUCCGAGAAAGUGCUUCUCUGGGCAUGUGGUCCCGUUGAUCUUGACAGUCAAAAACGAGCUGAGGCGCCCGAUGAGGAUAGUCAUCGCGCCGCUACAGCCCCUCCCCUCCCCCUUAUAAAGGGAGUUACGGGCAGGCAGAGGUAGGCUGCAGUGGACUUGUCUCCGGGGUUUCGGUAUGGUCGUGUUUUGGUUGCGUAGGCGUCACUGGGUAGAAGCCUGAACGACUCCGAGUGGCUUCGGAGAUUGUUUUGCAUUUGCGCGAGUAUGGCACGUUUUCUUUACUUUUUCUUUUUUUCAGUUCGGUAGAGAACACGGGGUAUAUGGACCGUCACAAGGACGCUGAAGUGGACUGCUAACUGAUGGCAGCUAAUAUACAUGGGUGGAUGUGUGCUUUGGCUUGCAGGAGUGAGGUUGCACUUGAUGCCUGGCGAUCAACCGGCGCACGAGGUCUGCUCUUACACAGUUCGCUGCGCCGAAACGAGAUAUGCGUCCGGGUUUCAAGAAAUGUACCGCUACAGUUUCAGCGGAGUCUCAUUCUUCUGAAGGCUCAUUCUCUGUUGGAUGGCCUCGUAUAAUGGAUAUAUCCAGUGUGAAACGGAACAGGUGCAACCUGCACCAACAGGUGCAACGGAACAGGAACAACCUUACUGAAAUUGAAAAAAAAAAAAAAGAAGACGUCGUCUUCCAGGAGCAACACUUUGUCGCUGUUUUUAAGUUCGUGUUCAAAGAGUGCGCGUUUCACGAACUAUAACUGAGUACUUUUCCACGCACGCCAAAGAGUCUCUCGAAAUGAUCCAUGCAUCACCGUUGGCGCCACGUGCCCAUUAACUUGCAUGGCAGCAAGAGAUGGAGCAAAGGUCGCGUGAUACCCCACAGAAGCCCACACGCGAGCUCCCUUUCCGUAACAAGCCAUGCGUUCCCAUCGCGGACCUCAUGUUGCUGCACGUUUUGUUGGGCCGCAUGAAAAGAAGAGACUGGUCGCGUGUCACCGAUGAUCGCCGUUCGGUGCUCCCGCCAAUUUAGCGAGGUCAUAGUCAGAGAGGCCGAGUUGUUAGCACCCGAAAAUGGCGCACACCCAACUUGUGGGAGCUUCCAGUGCGCAACCAUGCUUACUGAACCGAGUUGCCCUCGUUUCUUUAAUGCUUUUUUUUUUGCUUUCUUUGGGGCAUAUCGCUCUUUUGUGGCCAUCAGUCCGGUUGGCAAAAGAAAAAGACAGAAAAGAGGGACGCCGAAACUGAGAACGACGACGAUGAUCCGGAAGCUCG